rnacentral:lncRNA from 1 species
ACAUCCCAUGUCCCAGCUUCAAACUCCCUCCACUUAAAAAUCCAACUCCAACAACCCCGUCUCCCGUCCAGGACCUUGAACUCAAUCUCCGGUCCCCAAACCCUUCAAACCCUAUCAUCACCCUUAAUCAGCGCCCCGCACUCCCGCCCAGACCCCGCCUCCACGGCUCUCGGGGGCGCGCCUCCACCUCCCCGGACCCAAGCUGGGCAGCCACCCCCUCACCUCAGCUGUCAGGUUCCCGAUGACCACGUCCUAGAACGUCCGCUGCUUCGCGACCCUCCAGGGCUGGGUAGGGGCCUCGUUCUCCUCCCCGGGGCCUCUCCGUCUCGCCUCCGGUCCACCCGGCUCCGCCCCGGAGCCGAGCCGCGAGCCGCGAUUGGCUGGAGUCCUGCCCGCCGCGGGGCGCGGAUUGGCUGGGCGGAGCCACCCGCCCGUCUCCAGGAGACGCGCGACCCGCCCUCCCCUCCCUUGCGCCCGGGACCAUUUAAAGGAUUCCGACCGGCCAGGGGGCGGGGCCACGUCUCUAGGAUGGAGGGGGGCGGGGACCUCAAAACUAUUUCCUUCAACUCAGCAGCUGUCCCCGCUCCAAGAUCCUCAGCACUGCUCUCUGCGACCCCUUUAUCCCAAGCCUGGACCCCAUCGCGGAGCAAGACUGGCUGGCACGCCCCUCCCGACCCGGCUUUCCGGGAGGGCGGCGGAGGCCGCGCCCCGGGGGUUCCGAGGGCAGACUCUGGCGGGGCCGAGGAGGAGGACGCCGCCGAAGGCCAGCCAAUAGUUUGGCGCGGCCUACGUUGCCUGGGCGAUGGCAGCCCCGCCCCUUCGCUGCCCCUGUCCUCCUGCUCCCCAACAUUUUGCUCGGCGGCACCCUUCUUAACCAUCGGGACUUCCCAGCUUGUCUUCUGGUGGUCCCUCCUGCAUCCACCUGACGCCCUAUCCUUCCUCUUUCAGGAUGGCAUCUCCGCUGCUGGAAACUCAUUCAUGGCUCCUACUGCCCUGGGGACAAAGUCCACACUUCUUUUGGGAGUUUGCCACAAAGCCCUUCACGAUCCCGCCUGA